CGCAGAAUGAACUCACUGUCCAGAGCUGGGGGCCCUGGAGAGCGGUGCGCGGCCGCGGACCAGGGCUGUCGCUGCUGGCUUUAGUGUGUCCGGCCUUUCAGAGACCACAAACUCGGGCAACGGGCUCGGGAUCCUGAAAUAGAAGGAUAUUGCCUGGACUGAUGGUCUUGAAGCCUCUUGCAACAAUUGAAAUAAGCCAUUCUUAACUCCAUGGAGACAAAUGGAUGAAUCAGUUCACAGAUUAUCAUUAUGUUCGUGUUGAGAGGAAGUCGGGUGACAAAAUAUGGAAGGCCACUUCUGCCUGUCUCAGCACUCCCAGUGUCUUUUGUAGCACCUAAACCUGAGAUGAUCCGCCCAGCUACGGGAAGCUGGAGAACAGCCUUAGCCCAGCUACAGGAAUGAGGAAAACUUCACGGGAAAUGGGGAAACGAAGGAGAUGGAAAAUACAAAGAGCUUCUGCAGCAGCCUCUGCAGGGCCAGUGUGAGUGAAGAGCCCGGGUGACGGGCCACUGAGGUGGGGUGGAGAGUUUUCCUACGUCUGCAUCCAGCAGUGGCAUCUGGAGAGGCCAUCCAUGUCUGUGGGCAGGAUGAAAGAGCUUCUGACAUAAAAAAUCAUCUCAGAUACGACUUCUACAGUUUGAUAUGCUUCCUUCCCUCAUCACCACAUCCAACACUGGAAGCUGCCUAUAAUUUUCACUGUGGCAAAGAUCAAGGAAAUUAAGUCUGGAAUGGAACAUUCUACAUCAAGCCUUAGUCCCUGAGCCCACUGCAACCCCAAAGUGCUUCACAGAAUCCGGGAGACGGCCUGUCUCAGACUCAUUCUUCCUAUUUUCUCCCAGCCAGUGAAUGCCUCCGAUUUGAAGAGCAGAUGAGCAUGCCUUUCUCUCCUGAGUUACAAGUAUUUGAACCGUGGGAAAGAUGCUCCCACAGGGGUGGACGCCAUGGACUUCAUGAGGCUCCCAAGGGAGGUGGACUUCUUGGCCCACGAAGUCGGUAAAGGGCCCUAAUUCUUCAGCAACUAUCCACAAAGGGACUCUCCCUGACGACUAGGCCCUGGAUGAAGCCUAGUUUAUAGAAAGUGAAGCAGUACCAAGGAAGGAGCUGGCCUCUCCUUGAUCCUGGACUCUGAGUAACUAAUUCCCUUGGGAAGACAGCCAAGUGUGGCCGGCAGAGACUGUGUCUAAGUUCUAAUUUGGAGGAAGCAGCAGAGAUCCAACUGCAGGUGUGAGCAUGCCCCUUCCUUCACGCACAGACCUUCUGCAACAGGCUGCGCUUCCUGAGAAAGGCCUGAUGAAAACGAUCAAGCUCACACAGAGGCCCCGCUGUGCAGGAAGAUUGCUUCCAAGAAGCGAUUCAUUUUUAGUUUAACAACUGUGCAUUCGGUCCCCACACAAUUUAUCUUCAUGCAAAAAUCACAUACCUGUGUGCCAGAUGUGCACAGCUGUAUGUGAACAACUGCUGAUCUAUCUGGGUCACAUGCCAAGUGCCUGUUUCUUUAAAUUAGGGUGGGUUGGGAUUUGGGCCGUGUGAAAAUUUCAUUUGGAAACCAGAAACCGAGCAAGACCUGGCUACACAGGGGUUUGAGCAUAGCGUGCUGAUGAACCAAGGUUAAAUUGGUCUUUUCCGGGACCCCCCAGAAUGGCCUGCUUUCCCGACCCCAGAAAUUCAGUGGCAUUCUGGGUCUGCAGAGGCUGGGUGCUGCCAAAGUGCGCGGCCCUUGUAAAUGCUUGUGGUGAAGCCGCAAAACCUCUGCCCAGCCCCUGGGAGCUCUUGCAGCAGGAUAGAACUAGACAUUUUUAGUUUGUGUUUCAGAGUUUUACCCUCUGGACUCAGAAGAAGCAAGACCACAAAACAGUCAAUGAGGCCUACCAGCCCAGCAGCUGGGGCACAGCCAUCCACAGAAGAGCAGGGGGCUGAGGUGAGAGAGCACUUACCCCUGGAAGCCCGCACUUCUGUGUACACGGGGGAUCUACAGCACUAGCACACAGACAUUUCCCUUUGUCUUCCUGUCUGUCCUUUCGUGACCAAAGCUAAUCAAUAUUAAAAGAAAUCCAGCUAUCGUUUUGUCAUUCCAUGACUGAUUUAUUGAGUAAUCACUACUGUAAUGCUGGGUGCCCUGCUGGCAUCAACAGGAGGCAAAUUGCUUGACACACAGUUAAUAUUCAAGUACAUAAACUGCGUGGGAUUAAUGAAGACUUACAAGUUUUCAAUGUUUUUGACCAUCUACCAGACUCCAGGUCCUAUGCAGAAAGUAUCCCCUUAAUUUUCAUAACUCCAUAAGGCAGGUAAGUGUUUGUUAUUCCUACUUUACCACAGGAAAACUGAGAUUCAGAGAGAUUAAGAAAUUUACUGAAAAGUCAUGUAUCUCCUAUGUGGUGGAGCACGGAUUACAAUUCAGCUACGUCUGAUUUCCAAUUCCAUCUUCUUCCCGUGCUGCUGUUGUUCCUUGUCCCUUUGGGCUAUUACCAAAGCCCUGAGAGAAGGCUUCUCUGUCCGGAAGCACGUGGCCUUCGCGCCCCCUGGGCCCUGGGGAACGCCACUGCGAUGUGGACCUGAGCUGUCUCACCUCUCGGCUUCAUUCCGGCCCGCACAUGGGCAGGCCCUGAUAAAUCAGCCCACAGUACUCAGGCUCAGUUUGAAUUUCAGCGGAAUUCUCUAAAACAAUAACCAGAUGCAAUUUAACUCACACUGUGUCCACAUAAGGAAUCCAUUCCAAGAACAGUCAGAGGAUGCACUGUGAUUCUCAGUCAGAUGAAUGACUUCUAAUCUUCCCUGGGCUUGUUUUAGAACUCAAAGAAGAAAUAACAUCUAGAUUAAUUUUAGAGUUCAGUCUUUGAAUCCGGUCUCAGGAAGGAUGCCUGUGUAAUUUAGUUGUGUCGUGGUGACCCCUUAGAUGACAGAUCACUCAUGGGUAGUGGCUCAUUCUAGACACCUGCCAUAUUCUAUGCAAUUUCCUCUUUCCAGUUUCAAGAACCAUUUCAGACUUUGCUUUCUUACGAGGUACUUAGAAGAACCAGGCCACCAUCCUGGGAGUAAAAUGGGAUCCUCCAGGAAUUACAUCACUUAUUUUUCAACGAAGAUUAAUUUCAUUUGGUUUAGUUGAACAAAAGUGUAUGAUCACAGAUUUGAUAACCAAAUAGAUGCCUUGACAUAAAUUUCAGUCCUGGUUUAGCUCUCUUCCAGUGAGAAAAACAAGGAAUCUCAAAGGUAAUUGGUAUAUCACUUCUCCAAGGGGGGAAAAAAGGGGUAGACUUUCAAUUUUCUUAAACAUAAAACUUCAAAUCCACAUAUAAUAAUAAACAAAUGGUUUAAGGCAUUUUAUGUCAUAAAUGGGCUGCUAUUAUUUAGUUAUGAAUUUUCAGGUUCAGGAAUUAUGCUAAAACCCAAGGGUCAUUGUGGAAUGUCUGUAUAUUUGAUUUCCAAAGAUCCAGAUAGGUUUUAAUGUGUUCAAUGUAAUAACACUGCACUCCCCAAGCAAUUUCUGUAUCCUCAGAGACAUGGCCUAAUAACAGCCCUCUGUGUCUUCUGCUUAGUGAAGUGUGAAUAAUAGCUGUGAAAAGAAUAUAUAUAUACUCACACAUACCUACAUGCAUAAUAUAUUUAUAUAUAUUAUAUUUUAACUUUAACAUAUGUUCCCACAUGGCCAAGUGAUUGAACCUAAUACAGUUAACAACUUAGGAGGGGAUUCAUUGAAUUUUCUAGGUCUCUUCAUAGCCAGUUACUUUGUAAGGAGAUCUUAAAUGUGGAAUAAUCAACAUGUUAAAGUAAUCUGGAUGUUUAUGAUUUGAUAACUCUUUGGUGCAUUGUUUAACAACAUGUUUUCAAUUUACUUUCCUUCAAAUAGCUCCAAAUAACCCCAUGAUUUAGGAUGAUUGAUUAUGGGAAUGUUGCUUUUACUGUACAUCCAAGGUAAUUUUAAAAUUACAUCUUCUUUUCAUUGUUAAGGGGUAAAAUCAUUUGCAGGUCUUGACAUGAUUUAUCAGAGAAAAGGGGACAAAGGGUCAGUCUUGGCUUCACUCUGUUAGAACAUUAUUGUGUGAGCCCAGAGGUAAAGCAAUAGACCUUAUGGAAGCUGGGUUCUAGCCCCAACAGGCUAAAUAAUCAGUUCUGUGGCCUUAGAAAAAUCAUUAACCCAUAUGACUCACUUUCCUUCCGUAUAAAAACCAACAAAGCAAUUGGGAUUGAAAUCCCCCUUAAAGAUUCUGAUUCAUUUUAAUGGGGGCCAGACCUAGAAAUCUAUACUUUUUACUAAGAACCUGAUGUUUAUAAUCAGACAAGUUUGGAAAACACUAGAGGUCUAAAGUUCUACAAGUUUAGAACAAAGUUUCCUGUCCUUCAGACAAUUUUCUUUCAGAACCAUCUUAUUACAUAACAGCAGUCUUACUUCACCUACGCCUGGUAUGUAUUUCUCUCAGACACUGUGCUGAAGCUUGUAUGUAAAUGACCUAUUUAAUCCUCCUAAGAACCUUGCACUGUCAGCAUACUAGUCAUAGUUAUUAAUCCUAUCUGCUACAGACAAACUCCCUAGUCUCAGUGGUUUAACAUGUUUAGGUUUUAUUUCUUUCUCAUGUAAUCUUUCUCUACCUCGUAACUAUGCCAUCUGAAACAUGUGUGCUUCAUGGGAAGACAAAGAUAGAAGAUAUUGGAUCUUACCUGCAUGAUGGGGAUUGACACAUGACAAUUCUGUUCACAGCCCAUUGGUUAAAAUAAGUCACAUGGCUUCAAUCCAACUGGAAACCAGCAAACAUAGAAGAGCACAUGCAGAUCUAAUAAACAAAGCUGUCUCUGACACGUAGGGGAUCUAGAUUUUACCUCUGUAAGAAACUGGGGCUCAGGAAGGCCAGCUUGGUGUCACUGAUGAAAAAUGACACAUGGCAUUUCAUUCAAAAAAGGAGCAUGCAUUAUUCACAAUAGCCAAGAUGUGGAAACAACAUAAAUGUCCAUGGAUAGAUAAUGGAUAAAGAAAAAUGUGGUAUACACAUACAAUAGAUUAUUCAACCUUAAAAAAAGGAAAUUUUGCUAUAUGUGACUACAUGGACUAACCUCGGGGAAGUUAUGCUAAGUGAAAUAAGCCAGUUGCAGAGGGAAAAAUACUGCAUGACUCCACUUCUAUGAGGUCCCUGAAAUAUCAAACUCAGAGGAAAAGAGUGUAGAAUGGUAGUUGCCAAGGGCUGCAGGCACAGUAAAUUGGGAGCUGCUGUUCAAUGGGUAUAAAGUUUUCCCAUCUAAUCCCCCCCAAAAAACAUUUUUACUGAGGUAAAGUAUGUCAAACUCAAGCUUAAAAAUCAUAAUAAAAUGUAAAAUACUCUUUAUGUAAAAAAAGUCCUGGCUUCCAAGAAUAAAAUGUGUUUCUCUAGACAGUAGAGUAUUUCCAUCCCAAAUAAAUAACUACAGAAUUGAUCUUUUUGAAGUUGUCCUUGUUCCUUUGUCUUUCCAUAUUAAAAUCUGAAGGCAUGUCCCUCCCUGAAGCAGACAGGUGCUCCUGCUGGCGGGCCGAGGUCCAAGGGGACUUCCCUGUGACUUGCUCACUACAGUCAAAUAGUCUCAGGAUAUCAAAGAAUCGUUCUCUUCACCUCAGCUUUUUUAGCAGUACUAACACAGAUUAUUUCUUCACAGCUAAACCUGUGAAAUACCAGUUUUGUCCAGUCAAAGCACACCUGUUGUAAAGAGAUAUUUUUUUCUUUCUUUCUACUUUUUGACCCUGAGAAACCUCUCAACAAUUCCACAGAUAAUUGUUAAGGGCAAGGAGAGAUCCCAAGAUCUGUGGCAAUAGAAUUUAAGAAGAUAGAACCUAUAUCGACAGAAUACUUAGCCCACAGCAAAAACAAAAGAAAAUGAAAAUCAAAACAACAACAAAACAGAUAAAUAAGUUGCUGUCAGACAUAAGGUAAAAGCUGUAAUCAACAUAUGUAUGGAUUAAUGAAAGUCUAGAGAAGAAGCAGCUACUUCUGCUGAAUUUGCUGAGUCAGUAGGAGCAUCAGAGAGAGAAAAUGACCAUUGGUCUAGGCCUGCAUGGGUGAGGCAUCUCUGGUGCACUAUCCUAUGGAGCUGGGUGGGAGCGAGAGAGCAAUCCUGGAAAAGAUGGCUUGGCGGGAGCACAGCAGUGGCAGAGUAGGAGCAUUUGCAGAGAAUGCAGAGGGCAGAGGAGGGCUGGAAACCGGGUGGGCCAAACGUUCAAGAGCCUGAACUGCCGUGCAGAGGAGUCCGAACUUACUCUGUGUGCAUGAGGGAGGCAUCUGAGCUUAUUAAUCAGGGGUCAAACAUGUGCCAAGGAAAUAUCGUUUUGACUUCCAGGAGAAAUGGAAUUCUGCACUUGCACAUCUCUGUGUAGCACAGACAGUAAACUGUCCCCCUGUAUCUAUU